GGCCGGUCUCCUCUACCCUCAGGCCUGUGGUGGAUGAAUCUAUCGAGUCGACCUCGUCGAAUGAGCUCCUCGAUCUCAUCCUGGAGCUGGAUGCAUUCCUCCGUGUCGUGGCCGUGGUCGCGGUGGUAGAGGCAGAACUUGUUGGGGUUGCACUUCCCGGGGUGUGUGCGCAUCCUCUCCGACCUAGGGAGCUGCUCCCUGACCUCCAUCAGUACCUGGGCCUUUGAGACGUUGAGAGGGGCGUAGUUGCGGAAUUUCCCUGGUGGGG
rnacentral:lncRNA from 1 species